rnacentral:rRNA from 1 species
GAUGAACGCUGGCGGCGUGCUUAACACAUGCAAGUCGAACGAAGCCGAGAGAGCUUGCUCUUAAAGCUUAGUGGCGGACGGGUGAGUAACGUGUGGGCAACCUACCUUAUACUGGGGAAUAAUCACUGGAAACGGUGACUAAUACCGCAUAAUGUCAUUGAGAGACAUCUCUAAAUGAAGAAAGGAGCAAUCCGGUAAAAGAUGGGCCCGCAUCUGAUUAGUUAGUUGGUGAGAUAACAGCCCACCAAGACAUCGAUCAGUAGCCGACCUGAGAGGGUGAUCGGCCACAUUGGGACUGAGACACGGCCCAAACUCCUACGGGAGGCAGCAGUGGGGAAUAUUGCACAAUGGAGGAAACUCUGAUGCAGCAACGCCGCGUGAAGGAAGAAGGUUUUCGGAUCGUAAACUUCUAUCAAAAGGGACGAAACAAAUGACGGUACCUUAAUAAGAAGCCCCGGCUAACUACGUG